GCGGAUGUAGCUGGAAGGUCGAGCACCUGAGCGCCACUCAGGAGACCCGAUUUCGAUUAUCGGCAUCCGCGCCA
rnacentral:tRNA from 1 species